rnacentral:lncRNA from 1 species
AUGUGCUGUCCCUUUCAAGACAGAGUCUCUCAUGUUUUUGCUGAUGAACAUAGCCUGCACCGAUUCCUCACUGGAUCUGACCAUCAUCCAGAUGGACCGACUCCCAGUGAUACAUGUAGAAGACACCUGGAAGCAGAAUUUCACUUGCACUGCUUAUAUCUCUGUUUUCCCAAGAUGAAGCAAAGCCUCCACCUCACUAAGCUAGCAAGUGAAAUAGACAAAAGGAAAGAAAAAGAAAACACUGUUGAAGAGAUGGCACAGAAGUUUUGGCUAGAUUAGUGUGCUCAGGAGUGCUUCUGAGAUGGUCACAUCCUUCCUUUCAACGAAAAUCACAGGGGUAGCUGCAAUAUU